CGUGUCUUGUGGAACUAUGCGGUGCCGCUCCCGCUCGAUCUGCCGUUGCUGGCUGCCUCAUUUCCCUCGUCCCUUCGCUUAUUCUCCGGUUCUCCCUCCCGCCGCCAAUCCCCUUCGAUCUGUCGUCUUGGGGUUUCUUUGUUUGUCCAGGUUCGUUCGGAUUUCGCUUCUUUUUGCCUUGCUGGGCGCGGUGUGUUCGUGCCCUUCUUAUUUGUUGCCCAACGCCGCUACCUCGCCAUGUGCUCCUUUCUCUCUUCCUCCAGCCAUAUAGUGAGCCACCAAGGUCGACAUGAUGCACCUGGUAGCUGUCCUGCCCUUCCGUCUGCACAAUCCACCUGCCCUUCAAGAACGAGAGUGAGGUUUCCUCAUUCUAUCUCUUUGUUGGGUAAAUUUGGUGCCUCUUUUGAAUAAACCAUGUCUAGAGAGUAUCACCCCGGAGGAAGAACCCGGAGCCAACGAAUUUUUACAGAUUAAAACGUCGGAUGGUUUGUAUGCCUACAGUUGGAAGAACUACACUUCGAAGAAGGAUGCUUUCCAAGAUGGAAGAAUAUGCCAAGAGGCUACCUUCUGGAUACAAAAGUUCUCUCUGGUGUCCAAAGUUUUGUCGUGUGCUUGUUGAGGAAGCUGCUUGGAAAAGAUGAUAGUAUUGUAUUUCUUAUCUGAACGCUUGCAGGAACACGAGGAGUUUGCAAAGGUGAAAAAUAGGGAAUAUGGAACUUGGGAAAAACUAUGAGAUAGAUACCUGGUAAUUCUCUCCUUUCCCACCAGAGUACAAUGACUCCACAAAGCUGUUUUACUGUGAGUUUUGCCUGAACUUCAUGAAGCGCAAAGAACAGCUCCAGAGGCACAUGAAGAAGUGUGAUCUUAAGCAUCCUCCAGGUGAUGGAAUCUACGGAUGUGGAGCUUUGUCGAUGUUUGAGAUUGAAUUCAGUGGAGUCAUGGAUCAAAACCUGAAGGUUUGCUUUGCAAUUUGAAGGGCACAACACCUUUUUUAUGCAUUUUUGUCUUCAUUGGAAGAAGAAACUCCAGGCUAUGGAAUCAAUGAACUGGCCACACAUAGUGAGCUCCUUCAUGUUCAUUUGGGGAAAUAUUUUGAGGCCAUGGUGAGGGCAGGAGAUAUAAAGCUCUCAAAGAGGUACGCCCCAUAGGGGCCCUCUAUUGCAUCACAUAUGCCGCGCCGGUGUAAUUGGCUCCUUCAUGUUUGUCAACUAUACGACCGAUAAAAAACAAGGCAAAAUAUAUGCUUUCUAUAAAGGUAGCUAUUUCUGCAGGGUGUUUUGCACCAACAAGCAUAAUGCUGCUAAUAUAUAUCUUGGCUAUUCCAGUUCUCAUCUUCUGGUUGUAUUGGGUUGAGAUCAUUGUAACCGGGGUUAAUCUGUUUAGAACAUGUAGGAGGAUAGUAAAAAAAACUGCUACUUUGCAUA